CAAGGCUCCAAGGGUCUGUGUUUCCUAUGGCACAAGAAGACUACCAGCUGAGGCAACAGGCUAGAGAUUCCUCCAGUACUGUUUCACAGAAUCAUAGAAUAUCCUGCGUUGGAAAGGACCCACAAAAGUCAUAGAGUCCAGAUCCUGGAGGGGACUCUUUGAGCUUUCCACUUUCGGCUUUGUGUCGUUGGCCAAGGAGCUGCCUUUCCUGCAGUUAACAGCAUCAGGGCUCUGCUCCUUGCUUUCUGCAAGGUCCUCUGUGCAUCCCCUCAGGGCGGCAGCAGUGGCUCAUCUGGGCAGCUGGCUGCCUUGUGGAAGAACCCCAUUUUGGGACCUGCAACAAUGUCAGUGUUUGCGUCAAGAAAAAGCAGGUUGAACUCUCUCCUGAGAAAGUCAGUCUGUCUGUAUGGAAGGAGCAAGACAAACACUCAGACACAAGUCCCAGCUUGGCAGCUGCAGCCCCUGUGAUUCAAAAUACCAACACCACCACCUGGAAAUCCAUCUCAGAUGCCGCUCCUUCUUCAAGCAGAGUUUCCCACCUGUCUCAAACCAGGGGUUUUAGACAAUCAUGGAACUACCUGUGAAUAAUGCUGUGGUUCUGCUUCCUCCAGUGUGUCUUCAUAGGCCUGAUGUCAGCUUCUUUCUUGUGGAGACAAAGAAUGUCACCAUGAAUGUCCAUUGGCAAACUGGAUAAGAAGGAGUGUCACAGUGCAGGACAACCUAGAAAAUGACAGGUAUUUCCAGGCAUAGCAAUGAUGAGAUCAAAUUCCCCUCAACCUGCCUUGUUUGCUGAUCUUUUAAUCAGAUUCAACUUCACUGCAGCUACAGCACAAGGUUCCCUGACAAUGUAUGACAGCAUGUGACAGAAAAAUAUUUUGAUUUUGUUUUUUUGUUUUUUUGGUUUUUUUUUUUGACCAUUUGAUGCUAUUUCAGAUAUAUCUGAAGCCCUGGCAGCAUCUGCUAAAUCUACCGAACUGUUUUAGUGGAGGUUUUUAUACUUGCAUAAUUGAACCAGAGGGUUUGGGGGUUGUGUUCAUGUGCGUGUAGGGGAAUCCAAACAGGAAAGCUGGGAAAUGAUCUAAACCCUUUGAGGUUAACGUGCCAUGAAAGAGCAUCAACGACCGAAGAGGACAUUAUUAAAAAGCAGCCAACCCAGCUCAAAAAGAACCACUGUGUGAAGCAAGAGCCUGCAGAACAACACCCAGGGCUGUUUGUGAUCCCACUGGGAUAUGUAUUUCAUCCCCUGUCUUCAUAUCUCCAGAUUUCCUCUGAACUGCUUCUGAGACGCGUUCUCGAAAAAGAAAAACACCAGCAACUACUGAAUGCCUCUUAUCAACCUUUUCCCCGCAAUCUGUUUCGUAUUCGUCUCACACCCUUGUUCUCGCAGUGUCUUGGGGAAAUGCUCGGAUCAAAGAUAAGAGAGAACAAGGAAAGGAAUGAAGCAAGAGGCAAACAACAAAACAAAACCACCCCCCACCCCCCCCCAAACUUUCUGACUAAACUUCUCUGCGAACCGUGUGCACGAUUACAGCACUGUUAAAACUGCCUUCUUCUUCGCCAGUACUUAAUUCCUGCUUUUAAAAUCAGGCUCCCUUUGAUCUUGAGGAUUGAAAUGAUCUGGAAAUGAAACAGCCAUUGCUUUGCAGAAAAUCUGGAUAGGGUCCCAGGCAUGGCUUUUACCUGGAAGGAUUCCAAAAUAGGAUGAAAUCUCUCCGGUUUCAGAACAAAUUGCAAGAUUUUUCUCUAUGUCUAGGCCAACUGUGGAACUCCAGCCCUGACGUCUGCUAGUUCCCAAAGCGCAGAUGUAAUAACCUCUAAGGUUAUUGUAUCUGAAGGACAGCAGUCAGCAAGAAAGAAACCUCUCUCUCUGUAUGUAGUUCUCAGUGCACCAACUCUGACCUGGGAAUCAUAAAGGAGAAAGGAUGCCUGAACAUCAGUACUAAGCAGAAAAUGUGCUGAGAUGUCACAGUUUGCCAAGACAACGAGAAUCACUUUCCCUUGUAUGUAUUAUUACAGAACAGGGGAAUAAUUAUCUGCUUUCAUACAAGCUUUUUCCUUCUGCAUGAUUAACUUCACUGAUAUCAAUAGAGAGUGUGAUGACUCUGAAAUGACAGCUCCUGGUAGCACGUUCUGGGAUUAGCACAAACAGGUUGUCACUGUACCCCUGUUAGGAACAGUCAGUCUUGUCAUGCUGAGUGCAGGACAGAAAAGCCAGGCUGGGACCAGGCAUCUGCCACCACCAUGUCUGUUUUCAUGGGUGGCUCUCAGUUUGGGAUAUAGGGCUGGCUACUUCAAUGGGGCACAAGGGCCUUCAUGCAGACCCGCAGGAUGGCAGCGGAGAAGCUUCCAGAUCCAAAUCACCUGGUCAUCCUUGUGCUAAGGGAUGAGUUGCAGCCUAAAAUCUGCAUUCUUCAGCUCAUGGAAUGGUUGAAUGGAGAGGAAGGUCAGAGAUGCGAGAGAGCAAGUCGAGGUAUUAGUAUGAAACAACCAACCUAUCCUUUUACUAAAGUUGUAAAAGAAUCUGUCAUAGGUCUCCUGUGGAAAUUAAUCAGUGUAUGGAAAACUGGAUAACAACUAUGGGGACAACAGGAAUGUGCCUAUAAAUUAAAAGAAGCUAUUGUGAGCAUGCAGAGCUAUCUGGGGAAGGCACUGGGGCAGGAUAGCAGUGCUCAGUGGAGCUAGGACAGGGUCCACAUAAAGGGAUUCUUCAGUAAAGUCCAUACUUUGUCAAUGUCAAGAUACACGGGAACUGUAAAACAAAGCAAACUGUGUGCAUGGAAUGAAAAUAGAAAUUUAGUCCAUCAUCGUGUGCCUUUGAAAACGUCAUAAUCCUUUUAAAAAGAUGACAAAAUAUCUGUGUAUUUUUUAAGAAACGUAGCAGGUGAAAGGAUUCAUUCUCAAAAAUCCAUGAAGUGUACAGUGAUGAGUUAUUGAGGAUUGGGGGGGAGGGUGUUUUUGUAAUUCUGUAGGCAUCUCAGUCCUCUGGUGAAAUGAUGUAUGGGGCAAUCGUCUGGUAGGGGCUGAUGGGAUGUAAAUGAAACUAAUUAAGGAAAUGUCAAACAUAAUUAAUAAAACAGGUUUAAGUUGCAAAAGCACUGUCAGCUGAAUGAAUGGGGAAGAGUGUGGCAUUCCCAUUGUUGUGGGGCUUGCUUGCUUAUUUAUAUAUUUAUUUAUUUAUUCCUCGCUCACCCCCUUGGCCUCCCACUAGCUCUGCAGUUGCAUCAUUCAAUUAGAUCUCAGAAAGCUCUUGCUAGACGCUUGCAUUUCCUCCUUGCCCCCCUUCUGAGCUGGGGUCCCAUAGAAUAGGAGGAAUAUAAAUUUGCCCUGUCGAUUUGCAGCCUGGGAAGAAGAAGAAAAAAAUUAAUUGCUAACUCCUCAUCUUCCCUAAGUACUACAGGACAUUAACAUAACCAAUUUGCUUGAACUCCUCACUGGCUGCUUAAUAGAGCAUCUGACCAGCUGAUAAGACCUGGGUGCUGCUGCCUAUGAUACCUUGUUAUUAGCAUUUUCAUAAUAUUCAGAUAUUACAGCCCCAUGAUUCACUAG
rnacentral:lncRNA from 1 species